rnacentral:rRNA from 1 species
GACGAACGCUGGCGGCGUGCCUAACACAUGCAAGUCGAACGGAACGGCCCUGUCUUUGUGGGCUGCUCGAGUUGCGAACGGGUGAGUAACACGUGAGUAACCUGCCCCUGACUUUGGGAUAACUUCAGGAAACUGGGGCUAAUACCGGAUAGGAGCUCCUGCUGCAUGGUGGGGGUUGGAAAGUUUCGUGGGUUGGGGAUGGACUCGCGUUUGAUUAGCUUGUUGGUAGGGUAGUAGCUUACCAAGGUUACGAUGCAUAGCUGGUCGGAGAGGGUGAUCAGCUACAAUGGGACUGAGACACGGCCUAGAAUCGGACGGGAGGCAGGAGUAGGGAAUAUUGGACGAUGGGCGAAAGUCUGAUCCAGCAAUGCGGGGGGAGUGAUGAAGGCGGUAGGGUUGUAAAGCUGUUUUACCCGAGAUGAUAAUGACAGUAACGGGUGAAGAAGCACCGGCUAACUCCGUG